AACCGACCCGAUCCGAACCUUGGAUGAAUAUGUUUGUGCAGAAUUUGAGACAUCCAGAAUUACCAUAGGCCCAUUAGAAUCAACAAUCUUUGCCAAACUUGAUUCGGACUGCAAAAUUUACGAAGAUGUUUUCAUACUGAAGAAGAGACCUUGGACAAAUACUGAAACCCUCUUGGUGCCCACUACACAGGCAGGGGUGUCCAGACCUGCUCUAGGAAAGCCAGUGUUCUGUGGGGUUCAGCUCUAACACAUCUGCCUGGAACUUCAGACUAAUGAAAUUGAAGUAUCCAAAUGAAGACCCUAGCAGUAUGGAGUAUAUGGAUACAGACGUUGCCAGCAGUCAGGAGGUGAUCCAGAAGACUCAUGGGAAUCUAUUUGAAGCUGCAUCAUUGAAGACAGUCCAGCAGAAGUUGGAGUUUUAAAGGAUAAAGUUCUUCAGGACCUAUAGCAGUUUACAGUCUGUAAAACCAUGUUACUGGGACUGAUUUAUGGACUGAACUUGAGCAACCCUCCUGAACUCAGGUACACAUUUGGAAUACUGAAGAAGUUAUUUCUGGAGCCACUUCCUGUUCCUGGAAUAAGGUUUGAUUGGUUGCCCAUGAAUGCCAAUUAGAAUUGUAUUUGCUAUUUUGUGUAAUUUUGUAAUGUGGUUUAAACUGUAUUUUACUGUGUGUAAUUAUUUAUUGCUUGUUUAACAAAUACACUUUGAUCAUUUGUGA